UCGGCAGGGACAGAGGACACUAAUAUCAAUGCCAAGGAAGUCACUGCAGGAACAAUGAUCUGAGGAGACCCAACAGUUUUAAGGCCACCUGUCGGCCCAAGAAGCCAGCUGGAGCUCCAGUUGUUCAGUCUGUUUUCCAGGUUGCAGGAAGAGAGAUGGCACACUCAUCCCCUGGAAGGAUUAGGAAAAAAAUGGCAAGAAAUGAAAAAAAAAUGAGGCACUUAUGCUACGAAAGUAUAUAUAGAC
rnacentral:lncRNA from 1 species